UGGCCAAACUACCCUUCGGAACACAAUACCCUCGGGAAACUGAGGCUAAUAGUGUAUACCACACUCACUCUGGAAUGACAAGUGUGCCAAACGCUCCGGCGCCGAAGGAUGUGGCUGCGGCCGAUUAGGUAGACGGUGGGGUAACGGCCCACCGUGCCGAUAAUCGGUACGGGUGGUGAGAGCCAGAACCCGGAGACGGAAUCUGAGACAAGAUUCCGGGCCCUACGGGGCGCAGCAGGCGCGAAACCUUUACACUGCACGACAGUGCGAUAAGGGGAUCCCAAGUGCGCAGGCAUAGAGCCUGCGCUUUUGUACACCCUAGGGAGGUGUACGAAUAAGGGCUGGGCAAGACCGGUGCCAGCCGCCGCGGUAAUACCGGCAGCCCAAGUGAUGGCCGAUCUUAUUGGGCCUAAAGCGUCCGUAGCUGGCCGCGCAAGUCCAUCGGGAAAUCCACCUGCUCAACAGGUGGACGUCCGGUGGAAACUGUACGGCUUGGGACCGGAAGGCGCGACGGGUACGUCCGGGGUAGGAGUGAAAUCCCGUAAUCCUGGACGGACCGCCGAUGGCGAAAGCACGUCGCGAAAACGGAUCCGACAGUGAGGGACGAAAGCUAGGGUCUCGAACCGGAUUAGAUACCCGGGUAGUCCUAGCCGUAAACAAUGCCUGCUAGGUGUGGCUCCCCACUACGAGUGGGUGCUGUGCCAUAGGGAAGCCGCUAAGCAGGCCGCCUGGGAAGUACGUCCGCAAGGAUGAAACUUAAAGGAAUUGGCGGGGGAGCACUACAACCGGAGGAGCCUGCGGUUUAAUUGGACUCAACGCCGGACAUCUCACCAGCAUCGACUGUGGUAAUGACGGUCAGGUUGAUGACCUCGCCACGAGCCACAGAGAGGAGGUGCAUGGCCGCCGUCAGCUCGUACCGUGAGGCGUCCUGUUAAGUCAGGCAACGAGCGAGACCCGCAUCCGUACUUGCCAGCAGCACUGCGAAGUGGCUGGGGACAGUACGGAGACUGCCGUGGCCAACACGGAGGAAGGAACGGGCAACGGUAGGUCAGUAUGCCCCGAAUGUGCUGGGCAACACGCGGGCUACAAUGGUCGGGACAAAGGGUUCCUACUCCGAAAGGAGACGGUAAUCUCAGAAACUCGAUCGUAGUUCGGAUUGUGGGCUGCAACUCGCCCACAUGAAGCUGGAUUCGGUAGUAAUCGCGUGUCACAAGCGCGCGGUGAAUACGUCCCUGCUCCUUGCACACACCGCCCGUCAAAGCA
rnacentral:rRNA from 1 species